rnacentral:rRNA from 1 species
ACAUGCAGUCGAGGGGCAGCAUGGUCUUAGCUUGCUAAGGCCGAUGGCGACCGGCGCACGGGUGAGUAACACGUAUCCAACCUGCCGUCUACUCUUGGACAGCCUUCUGAAAGGAAGAUUAAUACAAGAUGGCAUCAUGAGUCCGCAUGUUCACAUGAUUAAAGGUAUUCCGGUAGACGAUGGGGAUGCGUUCCAUUAGAUAGUAGGCGGGGUAACGGCCCACCUAGUCUUCGAUGGAUAGGGGUUCUGAGAGGAAGGUCCCCCACAUUGGAACUGAGACACGGUCCAAACUCCUACGGGAGGCAGCAGUGAGGAAUAUUGGUCAAUGGGCGAGAGCCUGAACCAGCCAAGUAGCGUGAAGGAUGACUGCCCUAUGGGUUGUAAACUUCUUUUAUACGGGAAUAAAGUGAGGCACGUGCGCCUUUUUGUAUGUACCGUAUGAAUAAGGAUCGGCUAACUCCGUGCCAGCAGCCGCGGUAAUACGGAGGAUCCGAGCGUUAUCCGGAUUUAUUGGGUUUAAAGGGAGCGUAGGCGGACGCUUAAGUCAGUUGUGAAAGUUUGCGGCUCAACCGUAAAAUUGCAGUUGAUACUGGUUUCCUUGAGUGCAGUUGAGGCAGGCGGGAUUCGUGGUGUAGCGGUGAAAUGCUUAGAUAUCACGAAGAACCCCGAUUGCGAAGGCAGCUUGCUAAACUGUAACUGACGUUCAUGCUCGAAAGUGUGGGUAUCAAACAGGAUUAGAUACCCUGGUAGUCCACACGGUAAACGAUGGAUACUCGCUGUUGGCGAUAUACUGUCAGCGGCCAAGCGAAAGCAUUAAGUAUCCCACCUGGGGAGUACGCCGGCACGGUGAAACUCAAGGAAUUGACGGGGGCCCGCA